UACGGAGGGUGCAAGCGUUAUCCGGAAUCACUGGGUUUAAAGGGUGCGUAGGCUGCUACAUAAGUCAGGGGUGAAAGUUUGUCGCUUAACGAUAGAAUUGCCUUUGAUACUGUGCGGCUUGAAAAUAGGUGAGGUUGGCGGAAAGUGACAUGUAGCGGUGAAAUGCGUAGAUAUGUCAUAGGACACCGAUUGCGAAGGCAGCUGGCUAACCUAAAUUUGACGCUGUGGCACGAAAGCGUGGGUAGCUAAUAGU
rnacentral:rRNA from 1 species